GAUUCAUUGGUGUAGUGGUUAUCACGCGUCGUUCACAUGCAGUGAGCACACAUCCGACGAGGUCCUCGGUUCGAUCCCGAGAUGAAUCA